rnacentral:rRNA from 1 species
UGACCCCGAGACCGAUAGCGAACAAGUACCGUGAGGGAAAGUUGAAAAGCACUUUGAAGAGAGAGUUCAAGAGUACGUGAAACCGCUUAGUAGUAAACAGAGGGACUCUCGAAGUCGGCGGUGACGGUUCAGGGUGACGGCGGGGCGGCCUGGGGGCGUGGGAUCCGCAAGGACCCUGUCCCUUUGUCAGCUCUGUCGGCGCCUGCACUUCGUUGCCGCCAUACGCGAUGAACCGUUUCUGGCGGACCGAGGGCGUGGGUGAAGUUUGUUGGCCUCGGCUUUCAAGCCCCGCGUUCCUGGCUCUGUCGGGGACGGGUAGUAGAGCGAUCUCUUAUAGAGAGUGCCCUUGCUGGCACGGUUCGCAUCUCUAUCGCGAGUAGGUCGGCGGUCCCUCUGACCCGUCUUGAAACACGGACCAAGGAGUUUAACAUGUGCGCGAGCCAUUGGGUGUUCGAAACCCAAAGGCGCAGUGAAAGCAAAGUCUGACUUGUCAGAUGAGGGGUGAUCCUUCACGGGCGCAACCCCGGAGCUUCGCAUCGACCUCGCUUCGUGCGGAGCAUCAAGAGCGUACACGUUGAGACCCGAAAGAUGGUGAACUAUGCCUGGCCAGGUUGAAGUCAGGGGAAACCCUGAUGGAGGACCGUAGCGAUUCUGACGUGCAAAUCGAUCGUCGGAGCUGGGUAUAGGGGCGAAAGACUAAUCGAACCAUCUAGUAGCUGGUUCCUUCCGAAGUUUCCCUCAGGAUAGCUGGUGCUCGUAAUCGAGUUUCAUCCGGUAAAGCGAAUGAUUAGAAGUAUUGGGGGCGAAACGCCCUCAACUUAUUCUCAAACUUUAAAUGGGUGAGAAGCGGGACUUGCUUAAUUGAAGCCUCGCAACGAAUCGGAGUGCCUAGUGGGCCAUUUUUGGUAAGCAGAACUGGCGCUGUGGGAUGAACCGAACGUUGAGUUAAAGUGCCAAAGUGUGCGCUCAUCAGAUCCCAUGAAAGGUGUUGGUUGCUUAAGACAGCAGGACGGUGGCCAUGGAAGUCGGAAUCCGCUAAGGAGUGUGUAACAACUCACCUGCCGAAGCAACUAGCCCUGAAAAUGGAUGGCGCUAAAGCGCGCCACUUAUACUCAACCGUUGGAGCAGAGCCGGCUCUUUGCAGCCCUGACGCUCCAACGAGUAGGAAGGUCGCGUGGGUGGCGCCGAAGGCUUUUGGGUGUGAACCUGGCCGGAGCCGCCCACGGUGCAGAUCUUGGUGGUAGUAGCAAAUACUCCAGAGAGGCCCUGGAGGACCGAUGUGGAGAAGGGUUUCGUGUGAACAGCCGUUGAACACGAGUCAGUCGAUCCUAAGGCUUAGGGGAAACCUUAAUCAAGCGUGCGGCGUUUCGACUGUGAAACCGCAACUUGGCCGAAAGGGAAUUUGGUCCUUAUUCCAAAACCUGGCCGUGGAACCGUUUCGGAAUCUCGCAUUCCGUCGUGGCAACGCGACACGACUGGGAGACGCCCACCGAAGCUCUGGGAAGAGUUGUCUUUUCUGCAUAAGCCGCCGAGGCCCUGGAAUCCUCUCGCAGGGCGAACGGGUUUUGGUUUUGGCGAAGAUCCUCGCAGUUCUCGCGAGGACCACGAGUGGUCGGUGGGACCUUGAAAAUCCCAGGGAGAUUACGGCGGACUCACGCCAGCUCGUACCCAUAUCCGCAGCAGGUCUCCAAGGUGAACAGCCUCUGGUCGAUAGAAUAAUGUAGGUAAGGGAAGUCGGCAAAUUGGAUCCGUAACUUCGGGAUAAGGAUUGGCUCUGAGGGUUGGGGCGGUCGGGCUUUGCACAGGAAGCGGCUGCGUCCACCGGCGGGCCUGGGCAAGUCCCACGAGGGUCGAACCCGGUCCCGUUCACGGGCCUCCGUGGAUUGUCAUUGCUUUGCGGGCUCGGCUUCGCGGCCGAUGUCCCGUUCGGUCGUCAAUCAACAACCAACUCAGAACUGGCACGGACAAGGGGAAUCCGACUGUCUAAUUAAAACAAAGCAUUGCGAUGGUCAGAGAGUGAUGUUGACGCAAUGUGAUUUCUGCCCAGUGCUCUGAAUGUCAAAGUGAAGAGAUUCGUCCAAGCGCGGGUAAACGGCGGGAGUAACUAUGACUCUCUUAAGGUAGCCAAAUGCCUCGUCAUCUAAUUAGUGACGCGCAUGAAUGGAUUAACGAGAUUCCCACUGUCCCUAUCUACUAUCUAGCGA